rnacentral:rRNA from 1 species
CUUAGUGAUCCGGUGGUUCCGCAUGGAAGGGCCAUCGCUCAACGGAUAAAAGCUACCCCGGGGAUAACAGGCUUAUCUCCCCCAAGAGUUCACAUCGACGGGGAGGUUUGGCACCUCGAUGUCGGCUCAUCGCAUCCUGGGGCUGUAGUCGGUCCCAAGGGUUGGGCUGUUCGCCCAUUAAAGCGGUACGCGAGCUGGGUUCAGAACGUCGUGAGACAGUUCGGUCCCUAUCCGUCGUGGGCGUAGGAAAUUUGAGAGGAGCUGUCCUUAGUACGAGAGGACCGGGAUGGACAUACCUCUGGUGUACCAGUUGUCGUGCCAACGGCAUAGCUGGGUAGCUAUGUAUGGACGGGAUAAGUGCUGAAAGCAUCUAAGCAUGAAGCCCCCCUCAAGAUGAGAUUUCCCAACUUCGGUUAUAAGAUCCCUCAAAGAUGAUGAGGUUAAUAGGUUCGAGGUGGAAGCGUGGUGACACGUGGAGCUGACGAAUACUAAUCGAUCGAAGACUUAAUCAAUUU